rnacentral:tRNA from 1 species
UAGCUCAGUUGGUAGAGUGCUUGCUUUGCAUGCAUAAGGCCCUGGGUUCAAUUCCCAG